GGGGUUGUGGCUCAGUGGUAGAGCUCUCUCCUUGCACGUGAGAGACCCUGGGUUCGAUCUUCAGCACCA
rnacentral:tRNA from 1 species